rnacentral:hammerhead_ribozyme from 1 species
ACCCAGAUGACGAGUUCAAAAUAGGACGGAAUGUGCGUUCCGGAU